rnacentral:misc_RNA from 1 species
ACGCUGUUGCGUCGGCUCUCCGCCAACACCGCGGCACUACAAGCAACCUCGUUCUCCCCCGCAACAUGAACACAAACUUCAGGGGGUAGGCGAAGAGGCGCGUACACGUAGCUCACACAAACGCGCGAGACGCACAAAGGCCGGACAAGUGCAUCCACUGCAACACAUCGAUGAAUCAAAAUCGCGUGGCGGCGGCGGCUUGACCCGACAGCAGGCCACCGCCGCUUCCCUUUCCGUGAACAUCACCACUCUUCUCCCUUCCCUUUUUUUUCUGUCGCUACGCUAUCCAGUCCCAGCAUGCUCCCCACCCCGCCCUACAGGUGCAGGUCUACAGACCCACAUCAACACACUGGGAGCCCCAGGCAGCUCGGCUUGGGGAGGCUGUGUGCACGCGCGCACUAGCGGGCGGCACAUCCAUACGUGAUUCUCGUCCCCUUUUCGCCGCAGCCGUCACGACUGAUGAAGAACCGCGCACACGAACCACUCGCGGAGGCGGCGCAGCCGUUGUGCAGGCGGGGGGCCUCUGAGGGCCCUGGCCUGAGGCUGGCGGACUUCCUCCUCGAGCGCAUGCGGCAUGCACCUGGACCACCCCCUAUUACCUGCACGACAGCCGCCACCGCCCUGGGGCAGGACCCUGGGCGCGGCCCGCCUGGAUCCAGGCGUGCAGUCCACGGGAGUGUCGGUCUGGCGCCGAUGACGGGGCAUUUAUGAGAAGGGACGGGGAGAGACAAGCAGAGCCGGUGGGACGCAUGGCCUCGACGGCGGAACGGCUUGUCCUCCACGACCAGGAUUCAGCCGUAGUGCGACAGAGGUUGAUGGAGUGUAGCUGUAUGCGCAUAUAUGUGUUGACUUGUUCGUGGUAUAGGAUGUCAGGCUGAGCGAAGAAAAAGAAAGUGUCUCCUGGUCGUGGGCGCCUCUUUUAUUGCUAUGCAUUUCUGCUGUUCUGCUGCUUUCCGGGGUCGCAGCCACUUGGACAGCGGGAGGGUCGGUCCCCUGUACCGCCACCUCUCUCCCUCUCUCGCAAUAACGCUUCUCGUGCCCACCGCCCACACCCACUCCGCUCUGAGGCGCACGUUCCAAUCAUCUGCUGUAUCUUGUGUGCUCUGCACGCCUGCGCUCGGUUGUGCGCAGGCCGUCGAAGGCUUCAAGGGAGAAGGGGAGCGAAGGACAACAGUCGAGGUCGUCGCGGCCAUGCGUUCGCGUUGCCUGUUGUGGUCUCGUUUAGCUUGCGAGGGACUUCUCCCGGUCAUGUGCGUGCGUGAGGUGCUCGUGGGCAGCGGCGCGUGUGGCGUUGCAGAAGAGCUUCUUUGGCUCGCUGUUUUUCCCUGAAUGUCGCUGCGCUCCCCACCGCCCCCCGCGCCGCUCUGAGAGAGUCAGAUGUGCCCCAGCUGCUUUGGCCUCCUCUGAGCUCACGUGCAACGGCGACUCUCCCUCAUUCUUGUCUUCGCACACCACUAUCCCACCGCGGUCGUCGAGCAAGAAAGUCACGAGGUAAAACUCUUGUGUUCCUGCUGCGCUUCUUCGCGCGCGCCACCUUGACUCUCCGUUUUUCUCUUCAUGGCGCGCCCUCGUGCGUGUGCUUC